UUGCUUUACGUAUGGCUGCUGCUAGUGGCUCAAUAGCUAAACAAAAAAGCAAAGGAGAGAGGGGUGACCCCUGUCUAGUUCCUCUGCCCAACAUAAAGUAGUCUGAUAUGAGCCCAUUAGUCUGAACUGCUGCUUCUGGAUGUUUAUAUAACAUACGAAUCCAUUUUAUAAAUGUAAUACCAAAUCCAAAUUCUUCUAAGAUUUUAAAUAGAAACCCCCAUUCUACCAUGUCGAACGCUUUUUCGGCGUCCAACGAGAUUGCAGCAACUGGGGACUGGGUGUCAGCCAGCGACCACAUGACAUCAAUGAGGCGUCUUUUAUCGGAGGAGCUACGACCACGAAUGAAUCCUACCUGAUCACUAUGGAUCAAUGAUGUAAUUAUGCUGUCUAAACGGUUUGCUAAAAUUUUAGAAAUUAUCUUAACAUCGAUUUGCAUUAAUGAUAUCGGACGAUAGUUCUUACAUUCCUUCCAAUCUUUACCUUUCUUAGGAAUUAGACUAAUGAGGGCCUGUCUCAAAGUGGGUGGCAACACCCCUCUCCCCAGCGCCUCCCUAUAUACCUCCAGUAAAGGUGAAGCUAGUUCCGAGGCAAAGCACUUAAAGAAUUCCCCCGUGAAGCCAUCCGGCCCCGGUGCCUUGCCUGUUGGCAAUGCCUUAAUUACCCCUUUAAUUUCCUCAAUAGUAAUAUCUGAAUCAAGAAAAUCCCUCUGUUCAUCCGUCAGUUUUGGGAGUCCUAACUGUUCUAUAAAGCUAUGAAUUUCUUCUUCAUCAGAGGUACAGUUUGAACUAUAUAAAUUACUAUAAAAUUCCUUAAAAGCCUGAUUAAUGUCUACCGUUGCAGUAAGCAGGUCUCCAGACUGCAAUCUAAUAGCAGGAAUAGUGGAAGCCAACUCCCUCUGUUUUAUAUAACUGGCAAGUAGCUUUCCUGCUUUAUCUCCUGACUCGAAAUAGGUUUGUCUUGCCCUGAAUGAGUUAAAUUCAAUCUUAUGGGUUAUUAAGUUAUUGUAUUGAUAUUUUAGUUUUGUCAAUUUUUUCAUGCCAUUUUGUGUUAAUUGUUGCUUCAGCUCUGUUUCAACCUGUUUUAUUUUAUUUUCUAAUUCUAGCAGCUCCCGUGUUUUAUUUUUCUUAUUGUAUGAUGUGUGUUGGAUUAUACGUCCUCUAACCACUGCCUUUAGGGCCUCCCAUGCCACGCCAGCUGAUGAUACAGACUACCAGUUGAUCUCUAAAUAACUUUUAAGUUCGGUCCUCAACCAUUCUGUAUUUGCUGGGUCCUGUAAAAGUGACGAGUUUAGACGCCAUCUAUAAGACCUUCUUCUCUCAUCUUGCGGUAACAAGUCCAAACUGACAGUAGCAUGAUCAGAGAUCAAAAUAGACCCUAUUUCACAUCUCACUGCACAGGGACUGAGCUCUUUGGAUAUUAGGAAAAAAUCUAUUCGGCUAUAAAUCUUAUGUACUGAUGAGUAAAAAGUAUAAUCCCUCCCUGACGGGUUCAUGAGCCUCCAGAUAUCUAUCAAUCCUAAAGAUUUGCAAAUUGUUUGUAGUGUCAAAGCGGCUUUUGGCAUUUUACGCAACAUUGCCCCACUGUGAUCAAGCACUGGGUCCAUUAACAGAUUAAAGUCUCCUCCAAGAACAACGGGCUGAGCCCCCAGUAUUUGUAACUUCCCUUCAAGAUCAGAGAAAAAAGAUUGAUCGUCCAGAUUAGGAGCAUAUAUAUUGGCCAAAAUUAGUUUCUGCGACUGUAUUUCAGCCAGUACUAUAAUCAUCCUACCUGUAUUAUCUCUUAUUUGCUUCUGACACUUAAAUUGUAGAUGUUUACUUACUAAAAUUAUAACCCCUUUACUCUUGCUGGAGCCUACACUGUAAAAAACAUGUCCAACCCAUCCUACACAGAGCUUCUCAGAUUCUUCUUUUGACAUGUGAGUUUCUUGAAGAAACACCACAUCAUAUUUUUUGGCCUUAAGGAUGGCCAUCACCUUUUUUCUCUUGACGGGAUUCCCCAAACCAUUAACAUUCCAAGUGGAGAGACGCAUUAAAUUUAAUUGUGAAGACAUGUCUGCCUAAUCAUCGAUAACACAUGGCCGUUUAUCAAAAGCAAUAUCCUUACAGUGGUGGUGACUGUACCCCGCCCCCUCCCCCAAGAAAAGAAAAUAAUAAUAAUAAUAAAUAACACAAAUUUAGUGCAAUUAAACCUGAACUUUGCACAUUCUAACCCCCUCAAAAGUCCCUCUAACCGAGGUCUGACGGUCCGUGUCAGGUCCGCGGGGCUCCACUUGUCAUGAUCCCUCACUCACCGCUACCGCACAGGAAAAUAAGGCAACACCAGUGUCCUCAGCAGACGUUUGGGCGCGCAGGAUACCAAUAUGAACACCUCCAUCCAUCAAUACUCACUGCAAAGCAUCUAUGAAGGCCAUGGCUUUCCGUGGGCACUCAAAAGCUUUCUCACCGCUGCCGGUCUCAAUUCUCAGCUUAGCUGGGAACAGCAUCCUGAAACCAACCCCUCGGUCGUGCAGUUUUUUCUUGCAAUCUUUGAAUUUCUCACGCUUCAUCUGGGUGGCCCUGGAGUAAUCGGGGAAAAGCAUGACAGUAGUAUUCCCCCAGGUCAGCUUGCCUUUGUUCCUCGCUGCUCUCAUCACCGCAUCCCGGUCCGACGAUCUCAAAAACCGGGCCAGUAUUGGUCUGGGCCGGUCGCCUGGCGCUGGUCUCUGGCUCGGGACCCGGUGGGCCCGUUCAAUCUCCCGUCUCCCCUUGAUGUUUAGCAGACUCGGCAACAGCUCCUCCAGAAAUCUCACCACAUCUCCUGCCUCCUUACCCUCCGGAAAGCAGACGAAACGAACGUUGUUACGCCUUGAGCGAUUCUCCAUGUCCUCUAAUUUGUCCCAUAUCUGUGCGAUAUCAGCCUUGUUAGCUGGCGGGUUAGCUUGCCAGCCCUGCUCAGUCACUUCCAAGUACUCCACUCGUUUCUCUACGUCGUCCAUUCUUGUAAUAAGGGAUGAUAGUUUAGCUUCCACCGACGCUGUGGUGCAACGUAUUUCUGCGAGCCCCCCGAGAUCUUCAGAAAUCUUUGUAAGCAUUGAGUAGAUGUUGCUAAUAUCUUGAGCUAAGUCGUUAGCUUGCUGCUGCUCGGGCGCUUUAGCUCCAUCUUGCAUCAUGGCGUCGGCCCCCUGAGACCGUAGUAGUCUUUUUAUGUCUCCACAGCCUGAAGUCUUAGAAAGUUUCGACAUUUUUAGCACCCCCUUCAACUAAAAGUACUUAGUCUGAGUGAUAAUAUAUCUGGUGUUGAUAUUAAACAGGAUAAAGAUAGCAAUGAAGUGCGGAGCUCCCUACUCCGUGGCUUCCUCUCGCAUCACGUCGCGUGACUCCCAUCAUGGGGCUAGGUUAAGGUUUAAGGUUUUUGGCGUGGAGUUAAAAUCACUGUCCAAAACCUUUGUAGGAAGUCUUUUCCAACCUUUUGGAGUUAGUUGGACCACUAAAAAAAAGAAAAAUGAAAAAAAAAAAUUUGGGGUGUUCGGGCUUCCUGAAGGUAAUACCCGGGUAUUAGGUUUUGGGGCUAGGAUUAGGUUUAAGGUUUUUGGCGUUAGGGUUAAAAUCACUGUCCAAUAUUUUUUGAGGAACAUGUUUCAGACCUUUUGGAGUUAGUCAGACCAAAAAAAAAGAAAAAAGAAAAAAAAAUAUUUGGGGUUUUCGGGCUUCCUGAAGGUAUUAGGUUUUGGGGCUAGGGUAAGGUUUAAGGUUUUUGGUGUUAGAGUUAAAAUCACUGUCCAAAACCUUUUAAGAAACAAGAUUCAGACCUUUUGGAGUUGGUUACACCAAAAAAAAAUGUAAAAUGAAAAAAAAAAUAUAUACAGGUUGUUUGGGCUUCCUGAAGGUAAUACCCUUCAGGUUUAAGUAUUAGGUUAUGGGCUUGGAUUAGGUUUAAGGUUUUUGGCGUUAGGGUUAAAAUCACUGUCCAAUAUUUUUUAAGGAACAUGUUUCAGACCUUUUACAGCUAGUUUGACCAAAAAAAAAAAAGAAAAAGAAAAAAUAUAUAUUUGGGUUGUUCGGGCUUCCUGAAGGUAAUACCCGGGUAUUAGGUUAUGGGGCUAGGGUUAGGUUUAAGGUUUUUGGCGUUAGGGUUAAAAUUACUGUCCAAUAUUUUUUAAGGAACAUGUUUCAGACCUUUGGGAGUUAGUUAGACAAAAAAAAAAUAAAAAUAAAAAUAAAAAUAUAUAUUUGGGGUGUUCGGGUCUCCUGAAGGUAAUACCCGGGUAUUAGGUUAUGGGGCUAGGGUAAGGUUUAAGGUUUUUGGUGUUAGAGUUAAAAUCAGUGUCCAAAACCUUUUUAGGAACAUGUUUAAGACCUUUUGGAGUUGGUUACACCAAAAAAAAUGUAAAAUGAAAAAAAAAAUAUUUGGGGUGUUCGGGCUUCCAGAAGGUAAUACCCGGGUAUUAGGUUUUGGGGCUAGGGUAAGGUUUAAGGUUUUUGGUGUUAGGGUUAAAAUCACUGUCCAAAACCUUUGUAGGAACUCUUUUCCAACCUUUUGGAGUUAGUUAGACCAAAAAAAAGAAAAAAGAAAAAAAUAUAUUUGGGGUCUUCGGGCCUUCUGAAGGAAAUACCCAGGUAUUAGGUUAUGGGGCUAGGGUAAGGUUUAAGGUUUUUGGCGUAAGGGUUAAAAUCACUGUCCAAAACCUUUUUAGGAACUUGUUUCAGACCUUUUGGAGUUGGUUACACCAAAAAAAAUGUAAAAUGAAAAAAAAAUAUUUGGGGUGUUCAAGCUUCCUGAAGGUAAUACCCGGGUAUUAGGUUAUGGGGCUAUAGUAAGGUUUAAGGUUUUUGGCGUUAGGGUUAAAAUCACUGUCCAAAACCUUUGUAGGAAGUCUUUUCCAACCUUUUGGAGUUAGUAAGACCAAAAAAAAAACGAAAAAUGAAAAAAAAUAUUUGGGGUUUUCGGGCUUCCUGAAGGUAAUACCCGGGUAUUAGGUUUUGGGGCUAGGGUUAGGUUUAAGGUUUUUGGCGUUAGGGUUAAAAUCACUGUCCAAUAUUUUUUAAGGAACAUGUUUCAGACAUUUGGGAGUUAGUUAGACAAAAAAAAAAAGAAAAAGAGAAAAAAAAAAUUGGGUUGUUCGGGCUUCCUGAAGGUAAUUCCCGGGUAUUAGGUUAUAGGGCUAGGGUAAGGUUUAAGGUUUUUGGCGUUAGAGUUAAAAUCAGUGUCCAAAACCUUUUAAGGAACAUGUUUAAGACCUGUUGGAGUUGGUUACACCAAAAAAAAAAUGUAAAAUGAAAAAAAAAAAAUUGGGGUGUUAGGGCUUCCUUUAGGUAAUACCCAGGUAUUGGGUUAUGGGGCUAGGGUAGGGUUUAAGGUUUAAGGGGUUAGGGUUAAAAUCACUGUCCAAGACCUUAUUAGGAACAUGUUUCAGACCUUUUGGAGUUAGUUAGACAAAAAAAAACGAAAAAUGAAAAAAAAAUCUUUGGGGUGUUCGGGCUUCCUUUAGGUAAUACCUGGGUAUUGGGUUACGGGGCUAGGGUAGGGUUUAAGGUUUUUGGAGUUACGGUUAAAAUCACUGUCCAAUAUUUUUUCAGGAACAUGUUUCAGACCUUUUGGAGUUAGUUAGACCAAAAAAAAACUGAAAAAUGCCAAAAAAAUGUUUUUGGGGGUGUUAGGCUUCUUUUAGGUAAUACCUGGGUAUUGGGUUACGGGGGGAAGGUGAAGGUUUAAGGAUUUUUGCGCAAGGGUUAAAAUCACUGUCCAAAACCUUUUUAUGAACUUUUUUCCAACCUUUUGGAGUUAGAUAGACCAAAAAAAAAACUGAAAAAUGUCAAAAACAUUUUUUUUUAGGUGUUUGGGCUUCCUUAAGGAAAUACGCAGGUAUUGGGUGACGGGGCGAGGGUAAGGUUUAAGGUUUAUGGUGUUAGGGUUAAAAUCACUGUCCAAAACCUUUUCAGGAUACUUUUUUCCAACCUUUUGGGGUUAGUUAGACAAAAAAAAAAAACGAAAAAAAAAAAAAAAAAAUUCUUGGGUUGUUAGGGCUUCCUUUUGGUAACACCCGGGUAUUGGGUUACGGGGCUAGGGUUAGGUUGAAGGUUUUUGGGGUUAGGGUUAAACUCACUGUCCAAAACCUUUUUAGGAAAAUUUUUCAGACCUUAUGGAGUGAGUAAGACCGAAAAAAACGUAAAAUGAAAAAAAAAUGUUUGGGGUUUAAAGGCUUCCUUAAGGUAAUACUCAGGUAUUAGGUUAUGGGGCUAGGGUAAGUGUAGUGGCUAAGCCCCAGCUUGAAGCCACUGAGGGGCUGCAGGACAGGCUAAACUUAACAACGCGCUGAGUACACUUACUGGCACGUCCAAUUAAUUCAAGUCCACUCCUUGUUCGCUUAAUGUGAUCUUUUAUUUCUCACAUUUUGUAGAAAUAUCAAGUCAACACCACAGCAAAGCAUCUUGAACGGAGAUAGCGGUACCAAAAGCAUAUCUUCUAGCGGUUGAAAAACUGUGCGCUCUUCCGUCCGGCAACACCUGCCCAGUGACCCAAAGUUCCCACCUUUAUGACAAAAAGAAAACACACCCACCACCCGCUGGCAUAAAUUGGUAUUGCAGUGAGACAAAAAUGGCUCCUACACACCGGCCCCUAAUUGUAAUGGAUACCAGACAUACAAUUUUUUCAAAUAUAAACCAGGGAGCCAUAAUCAAAAAUAAUACAAUGACCAUAUUUACAGCACAAAUUAUUUCAUGUAUGAUAUUCAUGUGAAUCUUUGACCCUUUGACCUUCUAUUCUGUACCUUCACAAAGCCAGCAAAGCUUUGUCACAGGACGUUCAAUGAUGCUUGACUUUGUCUGUAAACGUACUGAACGCACCAGGCCUUUUUUAUCCUGAAAAACCUCCAAGACUCUUCCUAAUGGCCAGGAGCCUCUUGGGGCAGUAGCAUCCAUUAUAACCACAAUAUCUCCAGGCUUUAAAUUCCUCCUUUCCUGGUUCCACUUUUGCCUUUCCUGCAGUAGAGGUAGAUAUUCCCGUAUCCAGCGUUUCCAGAAAAGGUCAGCUAUAUACUGAACCUGUCUCCAUCUUCGCUUUACAUACAGAUCAUGUGGUUCAAAUAAUCCAGGUGGUAAAGAUGGUCUUCCCUUCAUGAGUAGAAUAUGGUUGGGGGUAAGUGGUUCCAGAUCGUUUGGAUCAUCGGAGAGCUUGGUGAUGGGACGAUCGUUUAAAAUGGCUUCAGCUUCACACAUCACUGUUUGAAGUCCAUCAUUAUCCAGUCUUUGUUGUUGACAAUACUGAAUGAUAGCGAGUUCAGCCUCCAAAAGUUCCUGAACUGUCAAAGCUUGUUUCUUAGGCUUGUCUGAUCUUAUUUUGCUGGUAUUGGGAGCCUCCGUCUCCUUCCUCCUGCAACAUUUUUCCAGCAGAAUGCCUUUCAGCCUAAGAAACCAGGCAACAGAUACUUUAAGCUUCAUCCAGUCUGAAAAGUAGGCUAUUAGCCGACCAGUGGCUUCAGGUGAACCUUCCACAUGGAUGACAUUCACCGUGGCUUCCUUCUUGACCUCUGUGUCAGUUGCUGAUAUAGCAAUCUCUACCAGCUUUGCAGGCCAGUUACCUUCUGGUUCAUACAGAAACUUUGGACCCUGAAUCCACCUGUUGUCCUGUAUGAAAUUUUCAACUCUCACUCCUCUGGAUGCAAUAUCUGCAGGACCUUGCAACCUUUGUUUUACCACAGAGAAGUUGUUGGGCAGAGACACAUCCUCCUUCUUAAAGGGUAACUUCAAGUUGUAAUGACCCUCUCUGGCUGUAGUAGAACUUUCCACAAUCUCCAUGAACCUCUUGUCCUCCCUCGAGAGCCCCUUUUCCUCUGUAGCUCUCUCGUUAAAGUCAUGGUUGUACUGCUCCUUUAGCAUAACUUCCAACCUGCUCACAGAAAUCCUGUUCACAACCACUGAAGGGACCUCAUCUUCCAAGCUGCUUCCAUUUCCUUGUAAAGGGCCAUUAAUUAUCCAUCCCAAUGCUGUUCUUAUAGCAUACGGGCCUUCCCCUUGGCUAUUUAUGACCUCCCAAGGCUCCAAUAGCUUGGGAGUGUUGCUUCCAAUCAACAGAUCCACGUUAGCCUUUAUGUUGGGAAUUUUUAUCUUUGACAAGUAGGACCACUUUGCCAGAUCUUCUUCAGUCACAAUGUUGUCUGUGCUUACAGGCAUUUUCUUUUGGGUGAGGGUUUCAGGAAGGUUGUAGAAAAGGUUAGUCUCCAAACCAGCUAUUUCUAAGCCAGAUACUGAAUAAGUAGGGACCACCCUUUCCUGUCCCAUAGUUUGUAGGAGAAAGUUAGUUCGUCUGCCAGCAAGAUUGAGCCUCUGCAUAAGCUGUUCUGAACAAAAGGUGGCUGUACUUCCAGGAUCCAAGAAUGCAUAAGUAUUGAUGAUACGGUCUCCUUUGAUGGAUUUAACCCGGACUGGGAGGAUGGAAAGAAGACAGCGAUCAUCUCCGGCCCCUGUAUGACCACACGUUUCAUGAGAUGAUGUGAUGUUACAUGCGACCGGCUCCUUGGAGUACUUUGUGUGUGUCUUAUCGUUGUCAUUUUGUUCAAUAUGAAGCACACUGGGGUGGCCUCGACUACAAACCCUGCAAGUCAAGCGCUUAUCACAGUUUUGACUAAUGUGCCCAGCACAUAAACAGCCGAAACAAAGCUCCUUUUCCUUUAGAAAGCUUAUUUUGUCUCUGUGUUUCUUCUUUUCAAACUGCUGACAUGCUUCCAAUAAGUGGCUUCCAGAACAGUACACACAAGUUAACUUAUGCACAAAUCCAUGCACCGGUGAAUCCACCCUUAACCUUCUGGAGUUCUCCUCUGAUUGUGCUGGUGUAAUGGUGGUGGCGAAGCUGUUUCCUCUCAACUUACUCACUGGCUGUGACCUCAUCCUGGGGUUGACCUUGGAAAUAGAUAAUCCAGAAGGAACAUCUCGAAUGUCACCAAAUAGAGGGUCAGAUAUUAUUCUGACAUGUUUUUCAAUGAAUGCAACCAGAUCCCUGAAAACAGCUCUAUGGUCAGAUGCCUCUAAUAUUUCGUAUGCCACAGUCCUCCAUCGUUCUCUCACCUUAAAUGGUAGCUUGGACAUGACUGCUCUCAUGGUACUUGGACUGUCUAACUCCCUCAUGUACUGCAGUCUCUCCAUGACAUUGCAACAUGAACGCAGAAAAAGAGAGUAACUUUGCAUUGCGUUCACAUCUUCGGCUUUUAUUGCAGGCCAAGCCAGAACACUUUCAAUGUAUGCAGUAGCGAUCUUAUACUCAUUGCCAAAAUGUUCUUGAAGCAGCUGUUUUGCUUGAGUAAAGCCGUACUCUGGAGCCAUAUGCUGGCAGCUCCGAACCAGUUCCCUUGGCUGCCCUCUGGUGAACUGCUCGAGGUAGUACAAGCAAUCUCCUCUGCUGACCUUAUCCUCCACUCCUUGCUCAAAGGCUCGCUUGAAGGAAAUGUACUGAAGAGGAUCCCCAUCAAAUAUUGGAAUGUCACGUGCUGGCAGUGACAUUAAGCGUUGCUGAUGUACAAGAGCUGCUGUUAUUUCAUUCUGCCUUUCCAUUAUGGCACAGAUGUUUCCAAAUUGCCUCUCAUCCGUUGACUGAGCGCUUAAAAGUGUAGGUUCCAUAGGCUGUGAGGAUACGUCCUGUCGCACUGUGCAUGGCUGCCUAGCCUCCUCUGCUAUCGUAGCAGUUGGUGGAAGAUCAUGUGCUGGCAGUGACCAAUCCUUUGCCUCCUGUUUGCUCUGAGUUGCUGGUUUGUAUGUUUUUGCCAUUGGGUUGAGCCUUUUAGAAGCUGUUGCCUUUUUGUGCUUGUCCAGGUAGGAAUUCAUUGCAUUUGAUGUUGCUGUAGAACCACUCCGAGACUCAGAAGCUUGUAGCACUGCUAGUUUAGCAGUAGAUGCAGCUAGCUUUGCUUCCAACUCCAGCUGUUGCUUUUUCCUUUUAAGCUGUUGCUCUUGUUCCUCCAAAGCAUGCAUUUUCUGUAAAGCUGCAGCAUGAGCAAGCAACUCUGCUCUUUCGGCCUCAGCUUUAAUUCUUGCCGCAGAAGUAGUGCUUGACUUUCCACUGCGUGAGCUUUUUCUGCUUGAAAGCUUGCUUGGUACAUUUGAAACACUGUCCUCUGGAUUCACAUCAUCGUUAUCAUCCUCAUCACCAUCAUCAUCAUCAUCAUCACCCUUUAAUGUCUGUUCAGCAACUGAGACCCACAUUUUCACAUGAGGAAUAAAUUCAUCAUUGGGUAUCAUUUUUGCUUUGAACCAUAUGCUGUGCUUUUCUUUUUCAUCAUCAGGCAAAAUAUCAAUUAAACACCCAUGAACACCUUUGGCUUCAUCACACAAUUUGAUCAAAUCAUCAAGAGCACGCUGAACCUUUACAUUGUCGUUGCUUUGCAUAAACCCUUUAAUUUUUUCUCUUAAGCCACCUGCCUUAUUUAGCUUAGCUUUCCUUGUAGCUUGCAACUUAUCAAACUUUUCAGCCAAGGCUUUAGCAGUCAGAGUUACAACGCGUUUUGGCUUGUCCUUUUGCGCAUUAAUGUCAAUGUUCAUGUUCAUUUCGGCUGAUUGCGGAACAGCCUCUGCGGGAUUUUUCACAGUUUCACCAACAUCCAUAUUGUUUUAACCAUACGCGCAACAUCGAUCACGCUCGUUGUUCGCCCCCUUUGACCACCAAUGCAUUGGAUUUACGUACUGAACAAUUGUGCACUUAACAUGAAUGGCCAUUCAUAAAUUUGUAGCGCUACUACUCACGGUGGACGCCUUGAUGAUCCCGGUGAAUGACUCCUUUGUCGGCAGCGUUUGAAGAUUGGCUCCCGGUGUUCUUUCUCCCGGUGUCCUCUCUCCCGGCGGCGUUCUCUCUCCCGGUGUCGUCCUCUCUCCCAGCGGCGUUCUCUCUCCCGGUGUCAUCCUCUCUCCCGGCGUCGCAUGCGAUAGGCAAGCUCCCUCAGGUACGUUCAAGUCAGCUUUCCCGGAUCCCAUCAGCUAGAAACUGUAGUGUUGUCCGCGACAUCCAACGCCGCCUGACUGUGAAGCUCUUCCCACUGACUUCAGCAGUUUUUCAACUUUGUGUAGUGGCUAAGCCCCAGCUUGAAGCCACUGAGGGGCUGCAGGACAGGCUAAACUUAACAACGCGCUGAGUACACUUACUGGCACGUCCAAUUAAUUCAAGUCCACUCCUUGUUCGCUUAAUGUGAUCUUUUAUUUCUCACAUUUUGUAGAAAUAUCAAGUCAACACCACAGCAAAGCAUCUUGAACGGAGAUAGCGGUACCAAAAGCAUAUCUUCUAGCGGUUGAAAAACUGUGCGCUCUUCCGUCCGGCAACACCUGCCCAGUGACCCAAAGUUCCCACCUUUAUGACAAAAAGAAAACACACCCACCACCCGCUGGCAUAAAUUGGUAUUGCAGUGAGACAAAAAUGGCUCCAACAGUAAGGUUUAAGGUUUUUGAGGUUAUGGUUAAAAUCACUGUCCAAAACCUUUUAAGGAACAUGUUUCAGACCUUUUGGAGUUAGUUAGACCAAAAAAAGAAUGUAAAAUGAAAAAAAAAAUGUUUGGGGUGUUAAGGCUUCCUUAAGGUAUUAGGUUAUGGGGCUAGGGUAAGGUUUAAGGUUUAUGGUGUUAGGGUUAAAAUCACUGUCCAAAACCUUUUCAGGAUACUUUUUUCCAACCUUUUGGGGUUAGUUAGACCAAAAAAAAAAAACGAAAAUUAAAAAAAAAAAAUUCUUGGGUUGUUAGGGCUUCCUUUUGGUAACACCCGGGUAUUGGGUUACGGGGCUAGGGUUAGGUUGAAGGUUUUUGGGGUUAGGGUUAAACUCACUGUCCAAAACCUUUUUAGGAAAAUGUUUCAGACCUUAUGGAGUGAGUUAGACCGAAAAAAACGUAAAAUGAAAAAAAAAUGUUUGGGGUUUAAAGGCUUCCUUAAGGUAAUACCCAGGUAUUAGGUUACAGGGCUAGGGUAAGGUUUAAGGUUUUUGAGGUUAUGGUUAAAAUCACUGUCCAAAACCUUUUAAGGAACAUGUUUCAGACCUUUUGGAGUUAGUUAGACCAAAAAAAGAAUGUAAAAUGAAAAAAAAAAUGUUUGGGGUGUUAAGGCUUCCUUAAGGUAAUACCCGGGUAUUAGGUUACGGGGCUAGGGUUAGGUUGAAGGUUUUUGGGGUUAGGGUUAAACUCACUGUCCAAAACCUUUUAAGGAAAAUGUUUCAGACCUUAUGGAGUUAGUUAGACCAAAAAAAUGUAAAAUGAAAAAAAAAAGUUUUUUGGGGUGUUAGGCUUCUUUUAGGUAAUACCUGGGUAUUGGGUUACGGGGGGAAGGUGAAGGUUUAAGGAUUUUUGCGCAAGGGUUAAAAUCAAUGUCCAAAACCUUUUUAGGAACUUUUUUCCAACCUUUUGGAGUUAGAUAGACGAAAAAAAAAAACUGAAAAAUGUCAAAAAAAAAAAUUUGAGGUGUUUGGGCUUCCUUUAGGAAAUACGCAGGUAUUGGGUGACGGGGCUAGGGUAAGGUUUAAGGUUUAUGGUGUUAGGGUUAAAAUCACUGUCCAAAACCUUUUCAGGAUACUUUUUUCCAACCUUUUGGGGUUAGUUAGACCAAAAAAAAACGAAAAUUAAAAAAAAGAAAUUCUUGGGUUGUUAGGGCUUCCUUUUGGUAACACCUGGGUAUUGGGUUACGGGGCUAGGGUUAGGUUGAAGGUUUUUGGGGUUAGGGUUAAACACACUGUCCAAAACCUUUUUAGGAAAAUGUUUCAGACCUUAUGGAGUGAGUUAGACCGAAAAAAACGUAAAAUGAAAGAAAAAUGUUUGGGGUUUAAAGGCUUCCUUAAGGUAAUACCCAGGUAUUAGGUUACAGGGCUAGGGUAAGGUUUAAGGUUUUUGAGGUUAUGGUUAAAAUCACUGUCCAAAACCUUUUAAGGAAAAUGUUUCAGACCUUUUGGAGUUAGUUAGACCAAAAAAAGAAUGUAAAAUGAAAAAAAAAAAUGUUUGGGGUGUUAAGGCUUCCUUAAGGUAAUACCCGGGUAUAAGGUUAUGGGGCUAGGGUCAGGUUUAAGGUUUUUGGGGUUAGGGAGAAAAUCACUGUCCAAGACCUUAUUAGGAACAUUUUUCAGACCUUUUGGAGUUAGUUAGACCAAAAAAAUGUAAAAUGAAAAAAAAAAAAAUGUUUGGGGUGUUAGGCUUCUUUUAGGUAAUACCUGGGUAUUGGGUUACGGGGGGAAGGUGAAGGUUUAAGGAUUUUUGCGCAAGGGUUAAAAUCACUGUCCAAAACCGUUUUAGGAACUUUUUUCCAACCUUUUGGAGUUAGAUAGACCAAAAAAAAACUGAAAAAUGUCAAAAAAAUUUUUUUGAGGUGUUUGGGCUUCCUUAAGGAAAUACGCAGGUAUUGGGUGACAGGGCUAGGGUAAGGUUUAAGGUUUAUGGUUUUAGGGUUAAAAUCACUGUCCAAAACCUUUUCAGGAUAGUUUUUUCCAACCUUUUGGGGUUAGUUAGACCAAAAAAAAAAACGGAAAAAAAAAAAAAAAUUCUUGGGUUGUUAGGGCUUCCUUUUGGUAACACCCGGGUAUUGGGUUACGGGGCUAGGGUUAGGUUGAAGGUUUUUGGGGUUAGGGUUAAACUCACUGUCCAAAACCUUUUUAGGAAAAUGUUUCAGACCUUAUGGAGUGAGUUAGACAGAAAAAAACAAAAAAUGAAAAAAAAAUGUUUGGGUUGUGUGGGCUUCCUUUAGGUAAUACCCGUGUAUUGGGAUACAGGGCUAGGGUAAGGUUUAGGGUUUUUGGGGUUAGGAUUAAAAUCACUGUCCAAUAUUUUUCAGGAACAUGUUUAAGACCUUUUGGAGUUAGUUAGACCAAAUUAAAAAAGAAAAAAAAAUUUGGGGUGUUAGGGCUUUCUUUAGGUAAUACCCAGGUAUUGGGUUAUGGGGCUAGGGUAGGGUUUAAGGUUUAAGGGGUUAGGGUUAAAAUCACUGUCCAAGACCUUAUUAGGAACAUGUUUCAGACCUUUUGGAGUUAGUUAGACAAAAAAAAAAACGAAAAAUGAAAAAAAAAUCUUUGGGGUGUUCGGGCUUCCUUUAGGUAAUACCUGGGUAUUAGGUUACAGGGCUAGGGUAAGGAUAAAGGUUUUUGGAGUUAAGGUUAAAAUCACUGUCCAAUAUUUUUUCAGGAACAUGUUUCAGACCUUUUGGAGUUAGACCAAAAAAAAACUGAAAAAUGCCAAAAAAAAGUUUUUUGGGGUGUUAGGCUUCUUUUAGGUAAUACCUGGGUAUUGGGUUACGGGGGGAAGGUGAAGGUUUAAGGAUUUUUGCGCAAGGGUUAAAAUCACUGUCCAAAACCUUUUCAGGAUACUUUUUUCCAACCUUUUGGGGUUAGUUAGACCAAAAAAAACCCCGAAAAAUUAAAAAAAAAAAUUCUUGGGUUGUUAGGGCUUCCUUUUGGUAACACCCGGGUAUUGGGUUACGGGGCUAGGGUUAGGUUGAAGGUUUUUGGGGUUAGGGUUAAACUCACUGUCCAAAACCUUUUUAGGAAAAUUUUUCAGACCUUAUGGAGUGAGUUAGACCGAAAAAAACGUAAAGUGAAAAAAAAAUGUUUGGGGUUCAAAGGCUUCCUUAAGGUAAUACUCAGGUAUUAGGUUACGGGGCUAGGGUAAGGUUUAAGGUUUUUGAGGUUCUGGUUAAAAUCACUGUCCAAAACCUUUUAAGGAACAUGUUUCAGACCUUUUGGAGUUAGUUAGACCAAAAAAAGAAUGUAAAAUGAAAAAAAAAAUGUUUGGGGUGUUAAGGCUUCCUUAAGGUAUUAGGUUAUGGGGCUAGGGUAAGGUUUAAGGUUUAUGGUGUUAGGGUUAAAAUCACUGUCCAAAACCUUUUCAGGAUACUUUUUUCCAACCUUUUGGGGUUAGUUAGACCAAAAAAAAAAACGAAAAUUAAAAAAAAAAAAUUCUUGGGUUGUUAGGGCUUCCUUUUGGUAACACCCGGGUAUUGGGUUACGGGGCUAGGGUUAGGUUGAAGGUUUUUGGGGUUAGGGUUAAACUCACUGUCCAAAACCUUUUUAGGAAAAUUUUUCAGACCUUAUGGAGUGAGUUAGACCGAAAAAAACGUAAAAUGAAAAAAAAAUGUUUGGGGUUCAAAGGCUUCCUUAAGGUAAUACUCAGGUAUUAGGUUACGGGGCUAGGGUAAGGUUUAAGGUUUUUGAGGUUAUGGUUAAAAUCACUGUCCAAAACCUUUUAAGGAACAUGUUUCAGACCUUUUGGAGUUAGUUAGACCAAAAAAAGAAUGUAAAAUGAAAAAAAAAAUGUUUGGGGUGUUAAGGCUUCCUUAAGGUAUUAGGUUAUGGGGCUAGGGUAAGGUUUAAGGUUUAUGGUGUUAGGGUUAAAAUCACUGUCCAAAACCUUUUCAGGAUACUUUUUUCCAACCUUUUGGGGUUAGUUAGACCAAAAAAAAAAACGAAAAUUAAAAAAAAAAAAUUCUUGGGUUGUUAGGGCUUCCUUUUGGUAACACCCGGGUAUUGGGUUACGGGGCUAGGGUUAGGUUGAAGGUUUUUGGGGUUAGGGUUAAACUCACUGUCCAAAACCUUUUUAGGAAAAUGUUUCAGACCUUAUGGAGUGAGUUAGACCGAAAAAAACGUAAAAAGAAAAAAAAAAUGUUUGGGGUUUAAAGGCUUCCUUAAGGUAAUACCCAGGUAUUAGGUCACGGGGCUAGGGUAAGGUUUAAGGUUUUUGAGGUUAUGGUUAAAAUCACUGUCCAAAACCUUUUAAGGAACAUGUUUCAGACCUUUUGGAGUUAGUUAGACCAAAAAAAGAAUGUAAAAUGAAAAAAAAAAAUGUUUGGGGUGUUAAGGCUUCCUUAAGGUAUUAGGUUAUGGGGCUAGGGUAAGGUUAAAGGUUUAUGGUGUUAGGGUUAAAAUCACUGUCCAAAACCUUUUCAGGAUACUUUUUUCCAACCUUUUGGGGUUAGUUAGACAAAAAAAAAAAAGAUAAAUGAAAAAAAAAAUUUCUUGGGUUGUUAGGGCUUCCUUAAGGUAAUACCCAGGUAUUAGAUUACAGGGCUAGGGUAAGGUUUAAGGUUUUUGAGGUUAUGGUUAAAAUCACUGUCCAAAACCUUUUAAGGAACAUGUUUCAGACCUUUUGGAGUUAUUUAGACCAAAAAAAGAAUGUAAAAUGAAAAAAAAAAUGUUUGGGGUGUUAAGGCUUCCUUAAGGUUAUACCCGGGUAUUAGGUUAUGGGGCUAGGGUCAGGUUUAAGGUUUUUGGGGUUAGGGAGAAAAUCACUGUCCAAGACCUUAUUAGGAACAUUUUUCAGACCUUUUGGAGUUAGUUAGACCAAAAAAAUGUAAAAAAAAAAAAAAAAAAUGUUUGGGGUGUUAGGGCUUCCUGAAGGUAAUACCCAGUUAUUAGGUUACGCGGCUAGGGUAAGGUUUAAGGUUUUUGGGGUUAGGGUUAAAAUCACUGUCCAAUAUUUUUUAGGAACUUUUUUCCAACCAUUUGGAGUUAGAUAGACCAAAAAAAUGUAAAAUGAAAAAAAAAAAUGUUUGGGGUGUUAGGGCUUCUCUUAGGAAAUACCCAGGUAUUGGGUUACGGGGUAGGUUAAGGUUUAAGGUUUUUGGCGUUAGGGUUAAAAUCACUGUCCAAAACCUUUUUAGAAACAUGUUUCAGACGUUUUGGAGUUAGUUAGACCAAAAAAAAUGAAAAAUUUAAAAAUAAAUGUUUGCGGUGGUAAGGCUUCCUUUAGGUAAUACCCGGGUAUGGGGUUACGGGUCUAGGGUCAGGUUUAAGGUUUUUGGAAUUAGGGUUAAAACCACUGUCAAAUACCUUUUUAGGAACAUUUUUCAGACCUUUUGGAGUUAGGUAGAGAAAUAAGAACUGAAAAAUGAAAAAAAAAAAUUGGGGGGUGUUCGGGCUCUUUUAAGGUAAUUAGGUUCUGGGGCUAGGGUCAGGAUUAAGGUUUUUGGCGCUAGGGUUAAAAUAACUUUCCAAAACCUUUUUAGGAACAUGUUUCAGAUCUUUUGAAGUUACUUAGACCAAAAAAAAUGAUAAGUGAAAAAAAAAAUGUUUGGGGUUUUAGGGCUUCCUUUAGGUGAUACCCGGGUAUUGGGUUAUGGGACUAGGGUUAGGUUGAAGGUUUUUGGGGUUAGGGUUAAAAUCACUGUCCAAAACCUUUUUAGGAAAAUGUUUCAGACCUUUUGGAGUUAGUUAGACCAAAAAAAAAAAAGAAAAAUGAAAAAAGGUUUGGGGGGUGUUCGGGCUUCCUUAAGAUAAUACCCGGGUAUUGGGUUACGGGGCUAGGGUUAGGUUUAAGGUUUUUGGCGUUAGGGUUAAAAUCACUGUCCAAAACCUUUUUAGGAACAUGUUUCAGACCUUUUGGAGUUAGUUAGACCCAAAAAAAAUCGAAAAAUGAAAAAACAAUUUUUGGGGUGUUAGGGCUUCCUUAAGGUAGUACCCAGGUAUUGGGUUAAGGGGGUAGGUUAAGGUUUAAGGUUUUUGGCGUUAGGGUUAAAAUCACUGUCCAAAACAUUUCUAGGAACAUGUUUCAAAACUUUUGGAGUUAGUUAGACCAAACAAAAAUUGAAAAAUGACAAAAAAAUUGUUUGGGGUGUUAAGGCUUCCUUUAGGUAAUUUUAGGUAGUAUUAGGUUCUGGGUUCUGGGGCUAGGGUCAGGUUUAAGGUUUUUGGCGUUAGGGUUAAAAUCACUUUCCAAAACCUUUUUAGGAACAUGUUUCAGAUCUUUUGGAGUUAGUUAGAACAAAAAAAUAUGAUGAAAAAAAAAAUGUUUGGGGUGUUAGGGCUUCCUGAAGGUAAUACCCAGGUAUUGGGUUACGGGGCUAGGGAAAGGUUUAAGGUUUUUGAGCUUAGGGUUAAAAUCAAUGUCCAAAACCUUUUUAGGAACAUUUUUCAGAUGUUUUGGAGUUAGUUUGACCAAAAAAGAAUCGAAAAAUGAAAAAAAAAAUGUUUGGGCUGUUAGGGCUUUCUUAAGGUAAUACCCAGGUAUUGGGUUACGGGGCUAGGGUAAGGUUUAAGGUUUUUGAGCUGAAGGUUAAAAUCAAUGUCCAAAACCUUUUUACGAACAUGUUUCAGACCUUUUGGAGUUAGUUAGACCAAAAAAAAAAAUGUAACAUGACAAAAAUCGUUUUGGGGUGUUCGGGCUUCCUAAAGGUAAUACCUGGGUAUUGGGUCACGGGGGUAGGGUAAGGUUAAUAGUUUUUUGGGGUUAUCGUUAAAAUCACUGUCCAAUAUUUUUUCAGGAACAUGUUUCAGACCUUUUGGAGUUAGUUAGACCAAAAAAAAAAACUGAAAAAUGCCCAAAAUUUUUUUUUGGGGGUGUUAGGCUUCCUGUAGGUAAUAUUAUUUUAUAUUGGGUUACGGGGCUAGGGUAAGGUUUCAGGUUUUGGGGGUUAGGGUCAAAAUCACUGUCCAAGACCUUUUUAGGAACUUUUCCAACCGUUUGGAGUUAGUUAGAACAAAAAAAAUCAAAAAAUGAAAAAAAAAUAUUUGGAGUGUUCGGGCUUCCUUCAUGUAAUACCCGGGUAUUGGGUUACAGGGUAGGGUAAGGUUAACAGUUUUUGGGGUUAGGGUUAAAAUCACUGUCCAAGACUUUUUUAGGAACAUGUUUCAGACCUUUUGGAGAUAGUUAGACCAAAAAAAACAAAAAAUGAAAAAAAAAAUGUUUGGGGUUGUAAGGGCUUCCUUUUGGUAAUACCCGGGUAUUGGGUUACGGGGCUAGGGUAAGGUUUCAGGUUUUGGGGGUAAGGGUCAAAAUCACUGUCCAAGACCUUUUUAGGAACUUUUUUCCAACCUUUUGGAGUUAGUUAAACCAAAAAAAAUCAAAAAAUGGAAAAAAAAUAUUUGGGAUGCUGGGCUUCCUUCAUGUAAUACCCAGGUAUUGGGUUACGGGGCUAGGGUAAGGUUUAAGGUUUUUGAGCUAAAGGUUAAAAUCAAUGUCCAAAACCUUUUUACGAACAUGUUUCAGACCUUUUGGAGUUAGUUAGACCAAAAAAAAAAAUGUAACAUGACAAAAAUCGUUUUGGGGUGUUCGGGCUUCCUAAAGGUAAUACCUGGGUAUUGGGUCACGGGGGUAGGGUAAGGUUAAUAGUUUUUUGGGGUUAUCGUUAAAAUCACUGUUCAAUAUGUUUUCAGGAACAUGUUUCAGACCUUUUGGAGAUAGUUAGACCAAAAAAAACAAAAAAUGAAAAAAAAAAUGUUUGGGGUUGUAAGGGCUUCCUUUUGGUAAUACCCGGGUAUUGGGUUACGGGGCUAGGGUAAGGUUUCAGGUUUUGGGGGUAAGGGUCAAAAUCACUGUCCAAGACCUUUUUAGGAACUUUUUUCCAACCUUUUGGAGUUAGUUAGACCAAAAAAAAAUCAAAAAAUGAAAAAAAAAUAUUUGGGGUGUUCGGGCUUCCUAAAGGUAAUACCUGGGUAUUGGGUCACGGGGGUAGGGUAAGGUUAAUAGUUUUUUGGGGUUAUCGUUAAAAUCACUGUCCAAUAUUUUUUCAGGAACAUGUUUCAGACCUUUUGGAGUUAGUUAGACCAAAAAAAAAUCAAAAAAUGAAAAAAAAAAUAUUUGGGGUGUUAGGGCUUCCUUCAUGUAAUACCCAGGUAUUGGGUUACGGGGCUAGGGUAAGGUUUAAGGUUUUUGAGCUGAAGGUUAAAAUCAAUGUCCAAAACCUUUUUAGGAACAUGUUUCAGACCUUUUGGAGUUAGUUAGACCAAAAAAAAAAAAAAAAUGAAAAAAAUAUUUGGGGUGUUAGGGCUUCCUAAAGGUAAUACCUGGGUAUUGGGUCACGGGGGUAGGGUAAGGUUUAAGGUUUUUGAGCUGAAGGUUAAAAUCAAUGUCCAAAACCUUUUUAGGAACAUGUUUCAGACCUUUUGGAGUUAGUUAGACCAAAAAAAAAAAAGGUAACAUGACAAAAAUCGCUUUGGGGUGUUCGGGCUUCCUAAAGGUAAUACCUGGGUAUUGGGUCACGGGGGUAGGGUAAGGUUAAUAGUUUUUUUGGGUUAUAGUUAAAAUCACUGUCCAAUAUUUUUUCAGGAACAUGUUUCAGACCUUUUGGAGUUAGUUAGACCAAAAAAAAAACUGAAAAACGCCAAAAAAUGUUUUUUGGGGUGUUAGGCUUCCUGUAGGUAAUAUUAUAUUAUAUUGGGUUACGGGGCUAGGGUAAGGUUUCAGGUUUUGGGGGUUAGGGACAAAAUCACUGUCCAAGACCUUUUUAGGAACUUUUUUACAACCGUUUGGAGUUAGUUAGAACAAAAAAAAAAUCAAAAAAUGAAAAAAAAAUAUUUGGGGUGUUCGGGCUUCCUUCAUGUAAUACCCGGGUAUUGGGUUACGGGGCUAGGGAAAGGUUUAAGGUUUUUGGGGUAAGGGUUAAAAUCACUGUCCAAGACCAUUUUAGGAACAUGUUUCAAACCUUUUGGAGUUAGUUAGACCAAAAAAAACAUAAAAUGAAAAAAAAUGUUCGGGGUGUUACGGCUUCCUUUAGAUAAUACCCGGGUUUUGGGUUAUGGGGCUAGGCUAAGGUUUAAGGCUUUGGACGUAAGGGUUAAAAUCACUGUCCAAAACCUUUUUAGGUACAUGUUUCAGACCUUUUGGAGUUAGUUAGACAAAAAAAAAGGGACAAUGUCAAAAAAAAAAAAAUUGUGUUAGGGCUUCCUUUAGGUUACACCUGGGUAUUGGGUUGCAGGGCUAAGGUUAGGGAUGUAGAAUUAGGGUAAAAAUCACUAUCCUUAAGCGUUUUAGGAGAAUGUUUCACACCUUUAGGACACAGACCAAAAAAAAAAAAAAUGUCAAAAAAAAAAAAAAAAAAUUGGGGGGUGUUAGGGCUUUCUUUUUCUGUUCUUUUUGGAGUAUGUUAGAACAAAAAAAGAGCUUCCUUUAAAGAAGCUGGUCAGUGAUUUUAACCUUGACCCUAUAAUCCUAACUUUAGCACUGUAACCCAAUCCAGAAAGGAAGCCCUAACAAUUUUUUGGACAUUUUUCCUUUUUUUUGUAAUAACUAUCUCCAAUAGGUAUGGAACAUGUUCCUAAAAAGGUAUUGCACUAUGAUCUUAACCCUUACCUCAAAUCGCAAAACCUAAUUCCGUAACCCAAUACCUGGGUGUUAUACAAAGAAAGCCCUAAAACCCCCAAUUUUUUUUUUUACAUUUUUCCUUUUCUUUUGUUCUAACGAACUCCAAAAGGCCUUAAACAUGCUCCUAAAAAGGUCCUGGACAGUGAUUUUAACCCUGACCCUAUAAUCCUUAGCACUGUAACCCAAUACCCAGCUGUUACAAAAAAGAAGCCCUGACAUCCAAAAAAAAAAAAGUUUUUUUUUUGCUAACGAAAUCCUUAAGGUUUGAAACAUGUUUCUAAAAGGUUCUUGGACAGUGAUUUUAACCCUACCCGACAUCCCCGCCAAGCUCUGCAGGAGAAGAAGAGGAUGCAGAGCUGGAGUUCAGCAUCGGGCAAAGUGGAGACGUUAUAAACCAACUGUACCGUCCAUUGUCAUGGGAGACAAGAGGUCUCGCCCCUACAAGAUGGAAUAGCUCACAGCACUGACUAGGCUGCAGUGGGAGUACCGGGAAUGCAGCCUCAUGAUGUUCACGGAGUCAUAGCUGAACAAACUCACUCCGGACCCGCUCGUAACUUUGGACGUAUAUCAUCUCGUCAGAGCAGACCGGAGCGCGAGGGAGAGUGGUAAGAAGAAAGGAGGCAAGAUAGCUGUGUAUGUGAAUGAGAGAUGGUGUAAAGCUGGGCGCAUCAGUGUUAAAGAGCAGCCCUGCCCUAAGGACAUUGAGCUGCUGGCCGUGAGUUUGCGGCCAUAUUACCUGCCGAGGGAGUUUUCGCAGGUCAUCGCGUUAACUGUUUACAUCCCCCCCUCGGCUGAUGCUGCUGCAGCCUGUGAAAUCCACCAUAGUGAAGUGUCCAAGCUACAAACAUCACACCCUCAGUCUCUGAUCACCAUCUCUGGAGACUUUCAUCUUCAGCUUGAGCCUGAGUCUGGAGAGGGUUCCAACACUGUGGAAGACUUCCUGCGUGAUUCCUGUCCCCAAGACAGUACACCCCAGGGAGCCCA